rnacentral:rRNA from 1 species
GACGAACGCUGGCGGCGUGCCUAAUACAUGCAAGUCGAACGCAGUGGGGACGGGUGAGUAACACGUGGGUAACCUCCCAUCAGAGGGGAUAACACUUGGAAAAAGGUGCUAAACCGAUACUGAUUGAUGGACCCGCGGUGGAUUAGCUAGUUGGUGGGGUAACGGCUCACCAAGGCCACGAUGCAUAGCUGAUCUGAGAGGGUGACCGGCCACACUGGGACUGAGACACGGCCCAGACUCCUACGUGAGGCAGCAGUAGGGAAUCUGCGGCAAUGGACGAAAGUCUGACCGAGCAACGCCGCGUGAGUGAAGAAGGUCUUCGGAUCGUAAAGCUCUGUUGUUAGAGAAGCGUUAUCUAACCAGAAAGCCACGGCUAACUCCGUGCCAGCAGCCGCGGUAAUUC